GACGAACGCUGGCGGCGUGCCUAAUACAUGCAAGUUGAGCGCUGAAGGUUGGUACUUGUACCAACUGGAUGAGCAGCGAACGGGUGAGUAACGCGUGGGGAAUCUGCCUUUGAGCGGGGGACAACAUUUGGAAACGAAUGCUAAUACCGCAUAAAAACUUUAAACACAAGUUUUAAGUUUGAAAGAUGCAAUUGCAUCACUCAAAGAUGAUCCCGCGUUGUAUUAGCUAGUUGGUGAGGUAAAGGCUCACCAAGGCGAUGAUACAUAGCCGACCUGAGAGGGUGAUCGGCCACAUUGGGACUGAGACACGGCCCAAACUCCUACGGGAGGCAGCAGUAGGGAAUCUUCGGAAAUGGACGAAAGUCUGACCGAGCAACGCCGAGUGAGUGAAGAAGGGUUUCGGAUCGUAAAACUCGGUUGGUAGAGAAGAACGUUGGUGAGAGUGGAAAGCUCAUCAAGUGACGGUAACUACCCAGAAAGGGACGGCUAACUACGUG
rnacentral:rRNA from 1 species